AACAUUUUUAAGAACAUAAAAAGCAGUUUGAAAAUAAUAAAUUCAUAUUGGUACUUCAAUAUUUCCUAAAUACCUAGUAAGUAAAAUAUGUAUAAUGUAUAUAGAUACCUAUAAAUUUUAGUUAUUAAUUUACAUACAUAUUAUAAUAUAUUUGGCUAUUACAUAAUUAUAUAAGCAGCAUUUUUAUUUUGAUGUGCACAUAAUAACUAAAUAUAUUACUUAUAUUUUAUAUAUAGGCUACUUACCCAUAUAAUAUUUAUUAUACAUAGGUACCUAUAUAACUAACUAAAGUUUAUAUAUUUUAUACUUACUUUUUACGUAAUAUUGUAGAAUGUAAUAAAUACAUUCUCAUAUGCAUUAGAAUAUGUAAAUAUAAUAUAUUAGUAGAACC
rnacentral:lncRNA from 1 species